rnacentral:pre_miRNA from 14 species
CUAUUAUUUUCAUGGUCUGGGUCGGACCUUUGCCAAUUUUCUCCGCGGUGAUACUCCAAUGCGACGAUUAUCACCGGGUGAAAACUGGUAGAGGUCCGAGCCAGUCAGACCAUCCCUUUCCA